rnacentral:rRNA from 1 species
UAAUACGUAGGCAGCGAGCGUUGUUCGGAAUUACUGGGCGUAAAGAGUGUGUAGGCGGUGCUCUAAGUUCGGUGUGAAAUCUCCUGGCUUAACUGGGAGGGUGCGCCGGAAACUGGUAGUGCUCGAGCGUGGGAGAGGAAAGCGGAAUUCCUGGUGUAGCGGUGAAAUGCGUAGAUAUCAGGAGGAACACCUGUGGUGUAGACGGCUUUCUGGACCAAAGCUGACGCUAAGACACGAAAGCGUGGGUAGCAAACAGGAUUAGAUACCCUGGUAGUCCACGCCCUAAACGAUGCAUACUUGGUGUCGGCCAUUCAGUUGGUCGGCGCCGGAGCUAACGCGUUAAGUAUGCCGCCUGGGGAGUACGGUCGCAAGAUU